rnacentral:rRNA from 1 species
UACGUAGGGGGCAAGCGUUGUCCGGAUUUAUUGGGCGUAAAGAGCGUGUAGGCGGCCAGGUAGGUCAGCUGUGAAAACUCGAGGCUCAACCUCGAGACGUCGGUUGAAACCACCUGGCUAGAGUCCGGAAGAGGAGAGUGGAAUUCCUGGUGUAGCGGUGGAAUGCGCAGAUAUCAGGAGGAACACCGGUGGCGAAGGCGGGUCUCUGGGCAGUAACUGACGCUGAGGAGCGAAAGCGUGGGGAGCGAACAGG